rnacentral:rRNA from 1 species
CCUACGGGGUGCUGCAGUGGGGAAUAUUGGACAAUGGGCGAAAGCCUGAUCCAGCCAUGCCGCGUGUGUGAAGAAGGCCUUCGGGUUGUAAAGCACUUUCAGUGGGGAAGAAAGCCUUGGGGCUAAUACCCUCGAGGAAGGACAUCACCCACAGAAGAAGCACCGGCUAACUCCGUGCCAGCAGCCGCGGUAAUACGGAGGGUGCGAGCGUUAAUCGGAAUUACUGGGCGUAAAGCGCGCGUAGGCGGUCUGAUAAGCCGGUUGUGAAAGCCCCGGGCUCAACCUGGGAACGGCAUCCGGAACUGUCAGGCUAGAGUGCAGGAGAGGAAGGUAGAAUUCCCGGUGUAGCGGUGAAAUGCGUAGAGAUCGGGAGGAAUACCAGUGGCGAAGGCGGCCUUCUGGACUGACACUGACGCUGAGGUGCGAAAGCGUGGGUAGCAAACAGGAUUAGAUCCCCGGGUAGUC